rnacentral:rRNA from 1 species
UGGGGAAUCUUGCACAAUGGGCGAAAGCCUGAUGCAGCAACGCCGCGUGAGCGAAGAAGGCCUUUGGGUCGUAAAGCUCUGUCCUAAGGGAAGAAGGAAGUGACGGUACCUUAGGAGGAAGCCCCGGCUAACUACGUGCCAGCAGCCGCGGUAAUACGUAGGGGGCAAGCGUUAUCCGGAAUUAUUGGGCGUAAAGAGUACGUAGGCGGUUCUUUAAGCGCAGGGUUUAAGGCGAUAGCUUAACUAUCGUUCGCCCUGUGAACUGGGGGGCUUGAGUAUCGGAGAGGAAAGCGGAAUUCCUAG